rnacentral:rRNA from 1 species
GACGAACGCUGGCGGCGUGCCUAAUACAUGCAAGUUGAGCGAUGAAGAUUGGUGCUUGCCCCAAUUUGAAGAGCAGCGAACGGGUGAGUAACGCGUGGGGAAUCUGCCUUUGAGCGGGGGACAACAUUUGGAAACGAAUGCUAAUACCGCAUAACAACUUUAAACAUAAGUUUUAAGUUUGAAAGAUGCAAUUGCAUCACUCAAAGAUGAUCCCGCGUUGUAUUAGCUAGUUGGUGAGGUAAAGGCUCACCAAGGCGAUGAUACAUAGCCGACCUGAGAGGGUGAUAGGCCACAUUGGGACUGGGACACGGCCCAAACGCCUACGGGAGGCAGCAGUAGGGAAUCUUCGGCAAUGGACGAAAGUCUGACCGAGCAACGCCGCGUGAGUGAAGAAGGUUUUCGGAUCGUAAAACUCUGUUGGUAGAGAAGAACGUUGGUGAGAGUGGAAAGCUCAUCAAGUGACGGUAACUACCCAGAAAGGGACGGCUAACUACGUG